AACCAUAGAAACCUGCGGAGUACCUGCGGAAGGAUCAUUACAGAGUUGCAAGACUCCCUAAACCAUUGUGAACCUACCUUCUACCGUUGCUUCGGCGGGCGGGCCCAGCGCCCCCCCGGCCCCCCGCGGGCGCCCGCCGGAGGAUACCCAAACUCUUGACAUUAGUGGCCUCUCUGAGUAUUCUUUACUGAAUAAGUCAAAACUUUCAACAAUGGAUCU
rnacentral:misc_RNA from 1 species